rnacentral:rRNA from 1 species
AAAGGGUGCGUAUGCGGGCAGGUAAGUCAGUGGUGAAAUCCUGGAGCUCAACUCCAGAACUGCCAUUGAUACUAUCUGUCUUGAAUAUUGUGGAGGUAAGCGGAAUAUGUCAUGUAGCGGUGAAAUGCUUAGAUAUGACAUAGAACACCCAUUGCGAAGGCAGCUUACUACGCAUAUAUUGACGCUGAGGCACGAAAGCGUGGGGAUCAAACAGGAUUAGAUACCCUGGUAGUCCACGCCCUAAACGAUGGAUACUCGACAUACGCGAUACACUGUGUGUGUCUGAGCGAAAGCAUUAAGUAUCCCACCUGGGAAGUACGUUCGCAAGAAUGAAACUCAAAGGAAUUGGCGGGGGUCCGCACAAGCGGAGGAGUAUGUGGUUUAAUUCGAUGAUACGCGAGGAACCUUACCUGGGCUAGAAUGCUGGGAGACCGUGGGUGAGAGCUCACUUUGUAGCAAUACAUCUGCCAGUAAGGUGCUGCAUGGCUGUCGUCAGCUCGUGCCGCGAGGUGUUGGGUUAAGUCCCGCAACGAUGCGCAACUCCCUAUCAUUAGUUUGCCAAUCUGGUUAAGUCUGUGAACUCUAAUGAAAUCUGCCGCCGUAAGGUGUGAGGAAGGAGGGGAUGAUGUCAAGUCAUCAUGGCCUUUAUGCCCAGGGCUACACACGUACUACAAUGGGGGAGACAAAGGGCUGCAACAUAGCGAUAUGAAGCCAAUCCCAAAAACUCCCUCUCAGUUCAGAUUGCAGGCUGCAACUCGCCUGCAUGAAGCUGGAUUCGCUAG